rnacentral:sRNA from 2 species
GCAGGUGAAUGCAACGUCAAGCGAUGGGCGUUGCGCUCCAUAUUGUCUUACUUCCUUUUUUGAAUUACUGCAUAGCACAAUUGAUUCGUACGACGCCGACUUAGAUUAGUCGGCUUUUUUUU